AUUGAACGCUGGCGGCAUGCUUUACACAUGCAAGUCGAACGGUAACAGGUUAAGCUGACGAGUGGCGAACGGGUGAGUAAUGCAUCGGAACGUGCCCGAUCGUGGGGGAUAACGCAGCGAAAGCUGCGCUAAUACCGCAUACGAUCUGAGGAUGAAAGCGGGGGACCGUAAGGCCUCGCGCGAUCGGAGCGGCCGAUGUCAGAUUAGGUAGUUGGUGGGGUAAAGGCCCACCAAGCCGACGAUCUGUAGCUGGUCUGAGAGGACGACCAGCAACACUUGGACUGAGACACGGCCCAGACUCCGACGGGAGGCAGCAGUGGGGAAUUUUGGACAAUGGGCGAAAGCCUGAUCCAGCAAUGCCGCGUGCAGGAAGAAGGCCUUCGGGUUGUAAACUGCUUUUGUACGGAGCGAAAAGGUCCUUUCUAAUACAAGGGGCUCAUGACGGUACCGUAAGAAUUAGCACCGGCUAACUACGUGCCAGCCGCCGCAGUAA
rnacentral:rRNA from 1 species